AUUGAACGCUGGCGGCAUGCCUUACACAUGCAAGUCGAACGGCAGCGGACCUUCGGGUGCCGGCGAGUGGCGAACGGGUGAGUAAUAUAUCGGAACGUACCUUUCAGUGGGGGAUAACGUAGCGAAAGUUACGCUAAUACCGCAUAUUCUGUGAGCAGGAAAGCAGGGGAUCGCAAGACCUUGCGCUGAUUGAGCAGCCGAUAUCAGAUUAGCUAGUUGGUGAGGUAAAGGCUCACCAAGGCGACGAUCUGUAGCGGGUCUGAGAGGAUGAUCCGCCACACUGGAACUGGGACACGGUCCAGACUCCUACGGGAGGCAGCAGUGGGGAAUAUUGGACAAUGGGGGCAACCCUGAUCCAGCCAUGCCGCGUGUGUGAAGAAGGCCU
rnacentral:rRNA from 1 species